AGAGUUUGAUCCUGGCUCAGAUUGAACGCUGGCGGCAUGCCUUACACAUGCAAGUCGAACGGCAGCACGGGAGCAAUCCUGGUGGCGAGUGGCGAACGGGUGAGUAAUAUAUCGGAACGUGCCCAGUCGUGGGGGAUAACGUAGCGAAAGCUACGCUAAUACCGCAUACGAUCUAUGGAUGAAAGCGGGGGAUCGCAAGACCUCGCGCGAUUGGAGCGGCCGAUAUCAGAUUAGCUAGUUGGUGGGGUAAAGGCCCACCAAGGCGACGAUCUGUAGCUGGUCUGAGAGGACGACCAGCCACACUGGGACUGAGACACGGCCCAGACUCCUACGGGAGGCAGCAGUGGGGAAUUUUGGACAAUGGGCGAAAGCUUGAUCCAGUAAUAUUGCGUAAACGAGGAAAACAAAAAAGAUGAUUCCGUAUUAAAACGAAGUUAUCGGUUGUAAAGUUUUUUCGCUAAAGAGGAUAAUGACUUUAUUUAGAGAAGAAGAAUCAGCUAACCUCGUGCCAGCAGCUGCGGUUAUGCGGGGGAUUCUAGCGUUAUUCAUAAUAAUUAGGCGUAAAGGGUUCGUAGGCUGUGUUUUUAGUUGCGUGUAAAAGACUGAAUUUAUUGUUUAGAAAUGCAUGUAAUACGUAAAUACUUGAGUAUAUCAGAAGAUAGUAGAAAUUUAUACGGAGGAGUGGAAUCCAUCAAUUUAUAAAAGAAUGCCGUUAGCGAAGGCGUCUAUCUAAGUUAUUUCUGACGCUGAGGAACGAAAGCGUAGGGAUCAAACAGGAUUCGGUACCCUGGUAGUCUACGCUGUCAAAUAUGAAUGUUAAUAGUAGGAGUAUAUUUCUGCUAUAUAGUUAACACGUUAAACAUUCCGCCUGAGAAGUACGAUCGCAAGAUUGGAACUCAAAGGAAUUGACGGGAGUUUAUACAAGUGGUGGAGCAUGUGGUUUAAUGCGAUAAUACGCGCGAAAUCUUACCAGUUCUUGAAUAUAUUUUAUAAUAAUAAUUUAAUUUUUGUUUAUGUUUAUAAAACUUAUUUAGUUUUAACAAUAAAAAUAUACAGGUGCUGCAUGGCUGUCGUAAGCUCGUGCUGUGAAGUGUUUGGUUAAAUCCUUUAACGAGCGCAACUCUUUUUUUAUAUUGGUCUUGUUUUUAUGUUUUUUUAUAUAUUUACAUCCACUUAUAAAAUACUGCUAGUGAUAAACUAGAGGAAGGUGAGAAUGAAGUCAAGCCCUUAUGGCCCUUAUGAACUGGGCUACACACGUGCUACAAUAGCAAUUACAAAAAGUUAUACAAUAAAGUAAUUUGGAGUAAAUCUUAAAAAGUUGCUGUGUUCGGAUUGCGGACUGCAACUCGUCCGUAUCAAGCUGGAAUCACUAGUAAUCGCAAAUCAUCAUGUUGCGGUGAAUCUGUACCUAAACUUUGCACACACCGCCCGUCAAAUGCUAGGAGUGCGUUUUAUUUGAAAUUGUUUUAAAUCUUUUUGUGCCUGAUUAAAAUAACUUUUUUAAUGAGACAAAUUGAUUUUAGCACUUAUUACAAGAUG
rnacentral:rRNA from 1 species